rnacentral:lncRNA from 1 species
ACAUCCAUUAGAAUCUCAACGAGAUUGAUAUGAUUCAUGAUGACGACCGUGGAUUCUCUAGAAGCUUCUGAUCUUAAACCCAAAGGUUUUGGUCCUAUUCCCCUAGGGAACGUUCGAAAAUACUCUUCCUCAUUGAGAAUCUCAACCGCAUUAUCGCUUGGAACCCACAAGGGAUCACCUGUUUGAGCCAUUCUCACAAGCUCUUCCAUGGCAGCAACAGCUAACUCAACAAUCAUUGGCUUAUCAGCAUCAUUAUGGAUCGAGACCGAUCUCAUAAUAUCACUUGUUCCAUACAUGUCUCAUAGUCUGGAUCCCCGCCGCUUAGGACAACGUUCAUAGCCAUUAUAUCGACUGGUGCGUAUAUCACAUACGAUCCUGAUGCAUCCGUACAGCUCUCUUGUAAGAUCAACAUGUUGCUCUGUCCUGAGUUCGCGCUCUGUUACAAUAUCAAGAAGAAUGUUUAAACACUUGAAAGCAUGAAACAUGACCGUUUUUAGCAUGGUUUAAAGAAAUUUUAGAAUUUUAAAUUAUUUCAAAAAAAAAAUAUUAGAAUUUUUAAAUAAAUUCUUAAAUUAUGAUUUAAAACUUUAAUUUUAGUUAUGAAUCUAAAUUUAUGAUAGAAAAUCUAUUGAUGAAGUUAUUAACUUUUAAAACUAUAUCAUUAACUCUUUAAAUAUACUCUUAAUAUUUUCUUAACAGGAUUUAGAAAUGAUUUGAGGCGGCACUACCAAUAGUAAAAAAGAGUUUGCAGAACAUAAUCUUACAUUAACUCGGAACAAGGAGACAGAGUUCCCAGGGUCCCGACCAUUUGCGAUAUGAGCCAUUUCUUGAACCAAACCUCCGUUCGAAAGUAUAUCCCACUGCGAGAUCAAGAACUGAAUUAAAGAACGUUCGGUCAAGAAACUAAAGAAACCAAAACGGUUUUGUUCUUUACCUCGCUUCUAGAGUUUUCAUCUCUCAGAAAAUCAAACACACGUUUAGGUGCCACUGGGAUCCAGAACGAAGUGGCUGCACUCAAGACGAUACCUGGAGGCCUUCCUGGAUCAUCCAUGCUCUUCCUGGUCAUGACCCGAACGUCGUCGGAGCCUGUGGUGGCUAAUGUAGUCCAGGCAUGUGCAUUUGACGCCCCUACUCCGCUACAGAAGCUCAUCACCAUCCUCUCCGCUAGCUUCAACAUGCUCUUUCUCCCCUCAGGACUUGUUAUCACUAUUCAUAAUUACAACAAAGUGAAGGGAAUUCAAUUAGUUAAUAUGAUUUCAAUUUAGUCUCAUAGUUUAUGAAUUUAUCAAAUAGGCCCUCUAAGUAAUAACGUACCGGAAAGAUCACCGGUUGGAAUGUUGCUAGCCAUCGAACUAGCGAGCCGCUCGCAUUGGCGGUCAAGUGUAGCCACCCAACGUUUCGCACCAAAAGCUAAACCGGUAUUAACCAACGGUUUGUACAUGGUGUGAACCGAUCUGUCAUCCACCUCCGUAUGCUCUACCCAUGUCACCUUCAACACAUGCCAAUAACAAAAUAAGUACUCUUAACGUACAAACUCUCUAUCUCAUACUUUUAAAAUUAUACCUUAGAAUAGCCAUUCUGCAGUUCUUGAAUCAGACAACCAGAGGGUCUUCUCCUGUUUCUAGUGAUGGGACUUGGUCUUAGGCUGUCCAAAGAGACAUCAACAACCGCCCAAGUAUUGUCGCUGUGCUGCUUACAAUACCUUACAAAGUAGUUCUCUCGUGUCGGGACAAGUGGUGACGGGACUUGGAACUCAGCUGUCAUCUUCAGAAAACAAAUACAAAAUGAUUCAGAAUAAUAGCUUGUGAAACAAGUAAUCAAAUUGAUAGUGUUUUAAGCCUCUUACCACUUGUAAUGCCCCAUUGUAGUUCCCUGCAACGCCAGUAGAUAGAACUUCUAGCGUCAAUGCUCUGGAUACAAUCCCACAGAACACACUAGACCAUUGAUUCUAUUCAGAGAAAAAAAAGAUUAUAAGUGUCGAUCUUUGUUUAGCUAGGUUUGAGAAAGAUAAGGAAACAGAUUUGUUACCACAUCCAUUAGAAUCUCAACGAGAUUGAUAUGAUUCAUGAUGACGACCGUGGAUUCUCUAGAAGCUUCUGAUCUUAAACCCAAAGGUUUUGGUCCUAUUCCCCUAGGGAACGUUCGAAAAUACUCUUCCUCAUUGAGAAUCUCAACCGCAUUAUCGCUUGGAACCCACAAGGGAUCACCUGUUUGAGCCAUUCUCACAAGCUCUUCCAUGGCAGCAACAGCUAA